rnacentral:rRNA from 1 species
AUUGAACGCUGGCGGCAGGCUUAAAACAUGCAAGUCGAGCGGGGGAGGUUGCUUCGGUAACUGACCUAGCGGCGGACGGGUGAGUAAUGCUUAGGAAUCUGCCUAUUAGUGGGGGACAGCAUUCCGAAAGGGAUGCUAAUACCGCAUACGCCCUACGGGGGAAAGCAGGGGAUCUUCGGACCUUGCGCUAAUAGCUGAGCCUAAGUCGGAUUAGCUAGUUGGUGGGGUAAAGGCCUACCAAGGCGACGAUCGGUAGCGGGUCUGAGAGGAUGAUCCGCCACACUGGGACUGAGACACGGCCCAGACUCCUACGGGAGGCAGCAGUGGGGAAUAUUGGACAAUGGGCGGAAGCCUGAUCCAGCCAUGCCGCGUGUGUGAAGAAGGCCUUUUGGUUGUAAAGCACUUUAAGCGAGGAGGAGGCUACUAGUACUAAUACUACUGGAUAGUGGACGUUACUCGCAGAAUAAGCACCGGCUAACUCUGUGCCAGCCGCCGCGGUAAAAC